AUGACUUGGGUCCUCAGAACAUCUCACAGUCCCUCCUUGAGCUUCAGGGUCCUUGAUUCAGGGUCAGGUCCAGGGCUGGCUGUAAAGGCACUGUGGAACCUGAUGGGGUUUUCCAGCACCAUGCCGUUGCCCAGGUUACCCAUCCUGCUUGCACUGGUCUGCCCUCCCAACACUGCCUAGCUUGGGCUCAACCUUCCUCGAACCCUACAGAGGUUCUGGUCUCUAAAUUGUUCACAUCUCCCAUAUGCCUUCAGACUGCUUUACCAAGACAGCUUCUUGCAGGCAGGAACACAGUUGCCUCUCAAUAAACUUGUGUUGCAGAAAAGGAAUGAUUGAG
rnacentral:lncRNA from 1 species